UGCUAUACAUGCAAGUAGAACGCUGAAGAGAGGAGCUUGCUCUUCUUGGAUGAGUUGCGAACGGGUGAGUAACGCGUAGGUAACCUGCCUUGUAGCGGGGGAUAACUAUUGGAAACGAUAGCUAAUACCGCAUAACAAUGGAUGACACAUGUCAUUUAUUUGAAAGGGGCAAUUGCUCCACUACAAGAUGGACCUGCGUUGUAUUAGCUAGUAGGUGAGGUAAUGGCUCACCUAGGCGACGAUACAUAGCCGACCUGAGAGGGUGAUCGGCCACACUGGGACUGAGACACGGCCCAGACUCCUACGGGAGGCAGCAGUAGGGAAUCUUCGGCAAUGGGGGCAACCCUGACCGAGCAACGCCGCGUGAGUGAAGAAGGUUUUCGGAUCGUAAAGCUCUGUUGUAAGUCAAGAACGGGUGUGAGAGUGGAAAGUUCACACUGUGACGGUAGCUUACCAGAAAGGGACGGCUAACUACGUGCCAGCAGCCGCGGUAAUACGUAGGUCCCGAGCGUUGUCCGGAUUUAUUGGGCGUAAAGCGAGCGCAGGCGGUUUGAUAAGUCUGAAGUUAAAGGCUGUGGCUCAACCAUAGUUCGCUUUGGAAACUGUCAAACUUGAGUGCAGAAGGGGAGAGUGGAAUUCCAUGUGUAGCGGUGAAAUGCGUAGAUAUAUGGAGGAACACCGGUGGCGAAAGCGGCUCUCUGGUCUGUAACUGACGCUGAGGCUCGAAAGCGUGGGGAGCGAACAGGAUUAGAUACCCUGGUAGUCCACGCCGUAAACGAUGAGUGCUAGGUGUUGGAUCCUUUCCGGGAUUCAGUGCCGCAGCUAACGCAUUAAGCACUCCGCCUGGGGAGUACGACCGCAAGGUUGAAACUCAAAGGAAUUGACGGGGGCCCGCACAAGCGGUGGAGCAUGUGGUUUAAUUCGAAGCAACGCGAGAACCUUACCAGGUCUUGAC
rnacentral:rRNA from 1 species